rnacentral:rRNA from 1 species
AUUGAACGCUGGCGGCAUGCUUUACACAUGCAAGUCGAACGGUAACAGGCCUUCGGGUGCUGACGAGUGGCGAACGGGUGAGUAAUGCAUCGGAACGUGCCCAGAGGUGGGGGAUAACGCAGCGAAAGCUGUGCUAAUACCGCAUGUGAUCUGAGGAUGAAAGCGGGGGACCAGGCAGCAAUGUUUGGCCUCGCGCCUUUGGAGCGGCCGAUGUCAGAUUAGGUAGUUGGUGGGGUAAAGGCCUACCAAGCCGACGAUCUGUAGCUGGUCUGAGAGGACGACCAGCCACACUGGGACUGAGACACGGCCCAGACUCCUACGGGAGGCAGCAGUGGGGAAUUUUGGACAAUGGGCGCAAGCCUGAUCCAGCAAUGCCGCGUGCGGGAAGAAGGCCUUCGGGUUGUAAACCGCUUUUGUCAGGAACGAAAAGGUUUUGGCUAAUACCUGGGGCUGAUGACGGUACCGUAAGAAUAAGCACCGGCUAACUACGUG